UACAUAACUCGUGGUUACCUUGAUAUGGCACCCUCUACUCAUUGGAAAGCUGAAAAAGUUGUUUCUGCUGCCUCUUUAGCAGUGUAGCGCAUCCCGUUGGCCAUAUACAGCCCUUUGCCUAACAUCUAUGCUGAUUCUGCUAUGGCCUUGCUAUUUUCUGUUCACUCACAUUGGGGCUUGGAGCAGGUGAUUAUAGACUACAUUAAGGGAUUUGCUCAACCAGUAUUUAUGGCUCUUCUCAAACUUGUAUCUUUGGCGACUUUUUGUUCCCUUAUAUGUUUCAACGUUUAUGAUGUCGGCAUAACCGAGGCCACUCGCAUGAUUAUAAAAGAAAUUUAAGAUUUUUUACUU